rnacentral:rRNA from 1 species
CCUACGGGAGGCAGCAGUGGGGAAUAUUGGACAAUGGGCGCAAGCCUGAUCCAGCCAUACCGCGUGGGUGAAGAAGGCCUUCGGGUUGUAAAGCCCUUUUUGAAGACACGCGGUACCCAAAGAAUAAGCACCGGCUAACUUCGUGCCAGCAGCCGCGGUAAUACGAAGGGUGCAAGCGUUACUCGGAAUUACUGGGCGUAAAGCGUGCGUAGGUGGUCGUUUAAGUCCGUUGUGAAAGCCCUGGGCUCAACCUGGGAACUGCAGUGGAUACUGGGCGACUAGAGUGUGGUAGAGGGUAGCGGAAUUCCUGGUGUAGCAGUGAAAUGCGUAGAGAUCAGGAGGAACAUCCAUGGCGAAGGCAGCUACCUGGACCAAACUGACACUGAGGCACGAAAGCGUGGGGAGCAAACAGGAUUAGAUACCCUUGUAGUC